rnacentral:rRNA from 1 species
GAUGAACGCUGGCGGCGUGCCUAAUACAUGCAAGUCGAGCGAACAGACGAGGAGCUUGCUCCUCUGACGUUAGCGGCGGACGGGUGAGUAACACGUGGAUAACCUACCUAUAAGACUGGGAUAACUUCGGGAAACCGGAGCUAAUACCGGAUAAUAUAUUGAACCGCAUGGUUCAAUAGUGAAAGACGGUUUUGCUGUCACUUAUAGAUGGAUCCGCGCCGCAUUAGCUAGUUGGUAAGGUAACGGCUUACCAAGGCGACGAUGCGUAGCCGACCUGAGAGGGUGAUCAGCCACACUGGAACUGAGACACGGUCCAGACUCCUACGGGAGGCAGCAGUAGGGAAUCUUCCACAAUGGGCGAAAGCCUGACGGAGCAACGCCGCGUGAGUGAUGAAGGUCUUCGGAUCGUAAAACUCUGUUAUUAGGGAAGAACAAAUGUGUAAGUAACUAUGCACGUCUUGACGGUACCUAAUCAGAAAGCCACGGCUAACUACGUG